rfam:Salmo salar isolate Sally breed double haploid chromosome ssa19, whole genome shotgun sequence.
UGGCUCAGUUUGUAGAGCAUGGCAUUUGCAAUGCCAGGGUUGUGGGUUUGAAUCCCAC